CGGUAACGGCGAGUGAAGCGGCAACAGCUCAAAUUUGAAAUCUGGCUCCUUCGGGGUCCGAAUUGUAAUUUGUAGAGAGUGCUUCGGGCGAGACCUCGGUCUAAGUCCAUUGGAACAUGGUGUCAUAGAGGGUGAGAAUCCCGUAUGCGACCGUGGCUCGAGCCCAUGUGAAGCCUCUUCGACGAGUCGAGUUGUUUGGGAAUGCAGCUCAAAACGGGUGGUAAAUUUCAUCUAAAGCUAAAUACUGGCUGGAGACCGAUAGCGCACAAGUAGAGUGAUCGAAAGAUGAAAAGCACUUUGGAAAGAGAGUCAAACAGUACGUGAAAUUGUUGAAAGGGAAGCGCUUGCAACCAGACCUGCCCGUAGGCGAUCAGCCGCUGUUCUCAGCGGUGCACUCGCUCUGCGAUCAGGCCAGCAUCGGUUUCGGCGGUCGGAUAAAGGCCUUGGGAAUGUAGCUUCCCUUCGGGGGAGUCUUAUAGCCCUCGGUGCAAUGCGGCCAGCCGGGACCGAGGACCGCGCUUCGGCUAGGAUGCUGGCGUAAUGGUUGUAAGCGACCCGUCUUGAAACACGGACCAAGGAGUCUAACAUCUAUGCGAGUGUUUGGGUGUCAAACCCAUACGCGGAAUGAAAGUGAACGGAGGUGAGAACCCUCAAGGGCGCAUCAUCGACCGAUCCAGAUGUCUUCGGAUGGAUUUGAGUAUGAGCAUAGCUGUUGGGACCCGAAAGAUGGUGAACUAUGCCUGAAUAGGGUGAAGCCAGAGGAAACUCUGGUGGAGGCUCGCAGCGGUUCUGACGUGCAAAUCGAUCGUCAAAUUUGGGUAUAGGGGCGAAAGACUAAUC
rnacentral:rRNA from 1 species